UACGAAGGGUGCAAACGUUGCUCGGAAUUAUUGGGCGUAAAGCGCACGUAGGCGGCUUAGCAAGUCGGAAGUGAAAGCCCUCGGCUCAACCAAGGAAGUGCUUUCGAAACUGCUGAGCUUGAGUACUUAAGAGGAUCGCGGAAUUCCCGGUGUAGAGGUGAAAUUCGUAGAUAUCGGGAGGAACACCAGUGGCGAAGGCGGCGAUCUGGGAAGAUACUGACGCUGAGGUGCGAAAGCGUGGGGAGCGAACAGG
rnacentral:rRNA from 1 species